AGAGGGGGAUAACACUUGGAAACAGGUGCUAAUACCGCAUAACCAUAGUUACCGCAUGGUAACUAUGUAAAAGGUGGCUAUGCUACCGCUUUUGGAUGGGCCCGCGGCGCAUUAGCUAGUUGGUGGGGUAAAGGCUUACCAAGGCAAUGAUGCGUAGCCGAACUGAGAGGUUGAUCGGCCACAUUGGGACUGAGACACGGCCCAAACUCCUACGGGAGGCAGCAGUAGGGAAUCUUCCACAAUGGGCGAAAGCCUGAUGGAGCAACGCCGCGUGGGUGAAGAAGGUCUUCGGAUCGUAAAACCCUGUUGUUAGAGAAGAAAGUGCGUGAGAGUAACUGUUCACGUUUCGACGGUAUCUAACCAGAAAGCCACGGCUAACUACGUGCCAGCAGCCGCGGUAAUACGUAGGUGGCAAGCGUUAUCCGGAUUUAUUGGGCGUAAAGGGAACGCAGGCGGUCUUUUAAGUCUGAUGUGAAAGCCUUCGGCUUAACCGGAGUAGUGCAUUGGAAACUGGGAGACUUGAGUGCAGAAGAGGAGAGUGGAACUCCAUGUGUAGCGGUGAAAUGCGUAGAUAUAUGGAAGAACACCAGUGGCGAAAGCGGCUCUCUGGUCUGUAACUGACGCUGAGGUUCGAAAGCGUGGGUAGCAAACAGGAUUAGAUACCCUGGUAGUCCACGCCGUAAACGAUGAAUGCUAAGU
rnacentral:rRNA from 1 species